rnacentral:rRNA from 1 species
UGGAUCCAGACUUUGAUCCUGGCUCAGGAUGAACGCUAGCUACAGGCUUAACACAUGCAAGUCGAGGGGCAGCGGGAUUGAAGCUUGCUUCAAUUGCCGGCGACCGGCGCACGGGUGAGUAACGCGUAUCCAACCUUCCGUACACUCAGGGAUAGCCUUUCGAAAGAAAGAUUAAUACCUGAUGGUAUGAUGAGAUUGCAUGAUAGCAUCAUUAAAGAUUUAUCGGUGUACGAUGGGGAUGCGUUCCAUUAGGUAGUAGGCGGGGUAACGGCCCACCUAGCCAACGAUGGAUAGGGGUUCUGAGAGGAAGGUCCCCCACAUUGGAACUGAGACACGGUCCAAACUCCUACGGGAGGCAGCAGUGAGGAAUAUUGGUCAAUGGACGAGAGUCUGAACCAGCCAAGUAGUGUGAAGGAUGAAGGCCCUACGGAUUGUAAACUUCUUUUAUAAGGGAAUAAACCCUCCCACGUGUGGGAGCUUGUAUGUACCUUAUGAAUAAGCAUCGGCUAACUCCGUGCCAGCAGCCGCGGUAAUACGGAGGAUGCGAGCGUUAUCCGGAUUUAUUGGGUUUAAAGGGAGCGCAGACGGGUCGUUAAGUCAGCUGUGAAAGUUUGGGGCUCAACCUUAAAAUUGCAGUUGAUACUGGCGUCCUUGAGUGCGGUUGAGGUGUGCGGAAUUCGUGGUGUAGCGGUGAAAUGCUUAGAUAUCACGAAGAACUCCGAUUGCGAAGGCAGCACACUAAUCCGUAACUGACGUUCAUGCUCGAAAGUGUGGGUAUCAAACAGGAUUAGAUACCCUGGUAGUCCACACGGUAAACGAUGGAUACUCGCUGUUGGCGAUAUACUGUCAGCGGCUUAGCGAAAGCGUUAAGUAUCCCACCUGGGGAGUACGCCGGCAACGGUGCAACUCAAAU